rnacentral:tRNA from 1 species
UCCCUGGUGGUCCGAUGGUUAAAACUCCGUGCUCCCAAUGCAGCAAGCCUGGGUUCAAUCCCUGGCCAGGGAA